GACGAACGCUGGCGGCGUGCUUAACACAUGCCAGUCGAACGGAAAGGCCCUGCUUUUGUUGGGUGCUCGAGUGGCGAACGGGUGAGUAACACGUGAGUAACCUGCCCUUGACUUUGUGAUAACUUCAGGAAACUGGGGCUAAUACCGGAUAGGAGCUCCUGCUGCAUGGUGGGGGUUGGAAAGUUUCGGCGGUUGGGGAUGGACUCGCGGCUUAUCAGCUUGUUGGUGGGGUAGUGGCUUACCAAGGCUUUGACGGGUAGCCGGCCUGAGAGGGUGACCGGCCACAUUGGGACUGAGAGACGGCCCAGACUCCUACGGGAGGCAGCAGUGGGGAAUAUUGCACAAUGGGCGGAAGCCUGAUGCAGCAACGCCGCGUGCGGGAUGACGGCCUGCGGGUUGUAAACCGCUUUCGCCUGUGACGAAGCGUGAGUGACGGUAAUGGGUAAAGAAGCACCGGCUAACUACGUG
rnacentral:rRNA from 1 species